UGCUCUGGAUUAGGCUUUGGCUUAAGGGAAUGUUGUGGCUGGUUUGAACUUCUAUGCAGACCACUAACAUUUUCUCCAUAUCAGC
rnacentral:pre_miRNA from 1 species